UCUGUUUUGUUUAUUUGUUUAUUUUGUUCUUUAGAUUCCACCAUAAGUGAAAUCAUAUGGUAUUUGUCUUUGCAUAAUAUCCUGGAGGUCCAUGCAUGCUGUCACAAUGGAACCUCUUGAUCCCGAAAGUCUUGUGGGAAGACAUGGCGAAGGAGAAGGAAACGCAUGUGCCGUGAUGGCAGAGAAAGAGCCAUUCUGCUUCUACAGUGGCUGUACCAACCUGCUUGCCCACCAACAGUGCAUGAAGGUGUGAGAGGAGCAGUGGCACGCAGCAUGACGUGGAGAAGGGAAGAAUCCAAACUGGAGGCUGGAAGGAGUGGCCAGUGAAGGAGAAGGACAACCAGGAGCGAGUGGUGUCCCCGAGACAACUGAGACGCGGUUUCGGGGAAGAGGGGGUGAUUGUUUCUGCCAAAUAGUCUGGUGAGUGAGAUGAGGAUAGAGAACUUACCAUUGGACCUGGCAAAGCAGAAGUCAUUGGUGACUUUGCUGAGCGAUGUCUUCUGGGGUAAGGAGGACAAAAACCCGGUUGGAAUGAUUCCCCAUCUCAAGGUCCUUAACAUAAUCAGAUCUGCAGUGUUCCUUUACCAUGUAAGGUAACAUAUUCACAGCUUCUGAGAUUAGGAUGUGGACAUCUUCGGGGGCCAUUAGGCUGCCUACCACUAUGGCUUUAGCUCUUUUUAAAGUUUCUGAUCCUCAAUUUCUUUACCUGAAAGAUGGGAUAAUCAUACCUCCUUUGAACUCAACACAUAAUAGAUAUGAAAGUUAACAAAUUUCCUUUUCUCAUUUCUUCACCCAACUCUGGUCCCUGGCAGGAGCGUUCCUCGUAAGGCCUCAAGGUAAGUUAAGAAAGGGUAGGAGACCAGCCAGGCACCUCACCUCACCUAAGGGCCCCUAGUGUAGCAAGCUUCCCCUCCCACCCUGCCAGACUCUCUGUGUGGGUCCUCUAGAGCACCUGGUGUGACUGUGGUUGUUUCAUCUGGUCUGAGGGGCACAGAGGAAAAGGCGUGUGUACCUGUGGGUGGGAGAGAGUGAGAACAGCCAGGGCCCACGCACCCAGCGCCUCCAGACUGAAGUUCCUCUAGGAAAGGAGCCCUGUUGAUUUUUCCUCUUACUUAUUCCAGACAUCGGCUGAAUGCUUUACAAAUAUUACUGCAUUUAAUCCUCAAAACAAUCUUAUAAAGGGGUUCUAUUAUUACCUGCAUUUUAUAGAUGAGAAAACCGUGACUCAGAUUAUGCCGCUCCCGUGGGUAGCACGGGCAGUGCGCCGCAGAGCUGGGAAGGGGCCCAGUCCGCUCUUCACUUCGCUGC